rnacentral:rRNA from 1 species
UUGGCUUAGAAGCAGCCACCAUUGAAAGAGUGCGUAAUAGCUCACUGGUCGAGUGACCCCGCGCCGAAAAUGUACCGGGGCUAAACAUAUUACCGAAACUGUGGAUGAACCUCUUUAGAGGUUCGUGGUAGGAGAGCGUUCUAAGGGCGGUGAAGUCAGACCGGAAGGACUGGUGGAGCGCUUAGAAGUGAGAAUGCCGGUAUGAGUAGCGAAAGAAGGGUGAGAAUCCCUUCCACCGAAUAUCUAAGGUUUCCUGAGGAAGGCUCGUCCGCUCAGGGUUAGUCGGGACCUAAGCCGAGGCCGAUAGGCGUAGGCGAUGGACAACAGGUAGAGAUUCCUGUACCAGUGCUAAUUGUUUAACCGAUGGGGUGACACAGAAGGAUAGGGAAUCGCACGAAUGGAAAUGUGCGUCCAAGCAGUGAGUGUGAGAAGUAGGCAAAUCCGCUUCUCGCGAAGCAUGAGCUGUGAUGGGGAAGGAAAUUAAGUACGGAAGUUCCUGAUUUCACGCUGUCAAGAAAAGCCUCUAGGAAGAGUAGUACUGCCCGUACCGCAAACCGACACAGGUAGAUGAGGAGAGAAUCCUAAGGUGAGCGAGAGAACUCUCGUUAAGGAACUCGGCAAAAUGACCCCGUAACUUCGGGAGAAGGGGUGCUCUAUUAGGGUGCAAGCCCGAGAGAGCCGCAGUGAAUAGGCCCAGGCGACUGUUUAGCAAAAACACAGGUCUCUGCAAAACCGUAAGGUGACGUAUAGGGGCUGACGCCUGCCCGGUGCUGGAAGGUUAAGAGGAGUGCUUAGCUUCGGCGAAGGUACGAAUUGAAGCCCCAGUAAACGGCGGCCGUAACUAUAACGGUCCUAAGGUAGCGAAAUUCCUUGUCGGGUAAGUUCCGACCCGCACGAAAGGCGCAACGAUCUGGGCACUGUCUCAACGAGAGACUCGGUGAAAUUAUAGUACCUGUGAAGAUGCAGGUUACCCGCGACAGGACGGAAAGACCCCGUGGAGCUUUACUGCAACCUGAUAUGGAAUGUUUGUACCGCUUGUACAGGAUAGGUAGGAGCCGAAGAGACGUGUGCGCUAGCAUACGAGGAGGCAAUGGUGGGAUACUACCCUGGCUGUAUGACCAUUCUAACCCGCCACGCUUAGCGCGUGGGGAGACAGUGUCAGGUGGGCAGUUUGACUGGGGCGGUCGCCUCCUAAAGAGUAACGGAGGCGCCCAAAGGUUCCCUCAGAAUGGAUGGAAAUCAUUCGCAGAGUGUAAAGGCACAAGGGAGCUUGACUGCGAGACUGACAAGUCGAGCAGGGACGAAAGUCGGGCUUAGUGAUCCGGUGGUUCCGCAUGGAAGGGCCAUCGCUCAACGGAUAAAAGCUACCCCGGGGAUAACAGGCUUAUCUCCCCCAAGAGUCCACAUCGACGGGGAGGUUUGGCACCUCGAUGUCGGCUCGUCGCAUCCUGGGGCUGUAGUCGGUCCCAAGGGUUGGGCUGUUCGCCCAUUAAAGCGGCACGCGAGCUGGGUUCAGAACGUCGUGAGACAGUUCGGUCCCUAUCCGUCGCGGGCGCAGGAAAUUUGAGAGGAGCUGUCCUUAGUACGAGAGGACCGGGAUGGACACACCGCUGGUGUACCAGUUGUUCCGCCAGGAGCAUCGCUGGGUAGCUAUGUGUGGCAGGGAUAAACGCUGAAAGCAUCUAAGCGUGAAGCCCCCCUCAAGAUGAGAUUUCCCAUUUCUUCGGAAAGUAAGAUCCCUGAAAGAUGAUCAGGUAGAUAGGUUUGGAGUGGAAGUGUAGCGAUACAUGGAGCGGACAAAUACUAAUCGAUCGAGGACUUAACCAAAA